rnacentral:rRNA from 1 species
AUGAUUAGGGACUUCUGGUGGGGGGACGAAGAAGGCCAUAGAAGGGUACACUGGAUGGCUUGGGAGCGCAUGAUUAAACCUAAACGGGCUGGUGGUAUAGGCGUCAGAGACAUGCAUCUAUUCAACCAAGCACUCCUAGCUAAACAAGGCUGGAGGCUAAUCCAAUUCCCGGAUAAUUUAUGCGCGAGAGUCCUGAAAUCAAAGAAAUUUCUGAAUGGUGACCUUCUAGACACCGUCUUUGCCUCGGAUACCUCCCCGGUGUGGAAGGCAAUAGAAUUUGGCCUAGAACUGCUGAAGAAGGGUUUAAUCUGGCGAGUGGGCGAUGGGAAAAAUAUUCAGAUUCAACGAGAUCAAUGGAUUCCU